GAUGAACGCUGGCGGCGUGCUUAACACAUGCCAGUCGAACGGAAAGGCCCAAGCUUGCUUGGGUACUCGAGUGGCGAACGGGUGAGUAACACGUGGGUGAUCUGCCCUGCACUUCGGGAUAAGCCUGGGAAACUGGGGCUAAUACCGGAUAGGACGAUGGGUUGGAUGCCAUUGUGGAAAGUUUUUUCGGUGUGGGAUGAGCUCGCGGCCUAUCAGCUUGUUGGUGGGGUAAUGGCGUACCAAGGCGUCGACGGGUAGCCGGCCUGAGAGGGGGUACGGCCACAUUGGGACUGAGAGACGGGCCAGAGUCCUACGGGGGGCAGCAGUGGGGAAUAUUGCACAAUGGGCGCAAGCCUGAUGCAGCGACGCCGCGUGGGGGAUGACGGCCUUCGGGUUGUAAACUCCUAUCGCUAGGGACGAAGCGUUUUUGUGACGGUACCUGGAGAAGAAGCACCGGCUAACUACGUG
rnacentral:rRNA from 1 species